AAGUAAUCCACUUUGACAAGAACGUAGCCGAGAGCUGACGUUUCCAGCCGAGUGUUAGCCCACACUCAUUGAGGGUUUGAGAAACGGCAUGUUGACUAACUGCUGGUGUUACUGGCUAUCUACUUAGCGCAGAGUUCUCCCAGUGGCACACUAUGUAGGUCGGACGGCUUUGCCUUUAAAGCAGCUAUUUUUAUACAUUGAAGAGCAAUCAGACUGCCGUCGGGCUGGAUACCAUGAAGUCUAACGAGUAAGAGUUUCUCUCCGUGAGGUGGAGUGAGAUUUCUUGCUGUAUCACUCCCAAACUCAGCUAUUUAUUCUUAUGGGGCACCUCAUCUCCAAUGUUAGUGUGAUUCUAUCAGCUCACUAAAGGUUCAAGAGGGGUGGCCAUUGCCUGGAUGCUUCAGCAGGCUGACCCACAAGAAAAGCCGUCCUGAGGAGGAGAUUUCAUUGGUCAGAAGAUGCAUAGACGAGGCUACACCCCUCACAAGAUCAAAAAUUAACACCUUGCUUGGAACUGUAGUUAAAUUUUAAUCAGCUACACAAAUUAGUGCGCACAUCAGGGCCGCACAUCCCGUAACUGAUUGAGGAAGGUCACUGACACUCAAAGGACUGCUGGAGACCAGGCAUCAGUUCAGCCUCAGCCAGAUGAAGACCCCAUAGUAUUGGCAAUCAAGGACUUCAAGCAAAUGCACAAACAGACACAGGAGUAUCAAAAAGUGUAUUGACUAUCAGCAAAAUCAUGGAUGGUAUUGCCAACAGUGCUAUCAAGUAGUUUACUCACCAAUAGCCUGCUCAAUGCUGUUCCGUUUGAGUUCUAUCAGGAUGACUUUGCUCAGGAUCUCUUUUCAGCCUUUGUUCAAAUAUGGAUGCACAAGUUGAAAUCCAGAAGUGAGAUGAGAGUGGCUGCCCUUGGCAUCAGGUGGAAUUUGACUAAAUGUGACAUCAAGGAGUCCUGGUAAAAUUGUUAUCCAUGUGAAUUGACAGGAGAGGGGUGAAACUUUCUACUGCUUGGAGUCAUACCCAGCAGAAAAGAAGGUGGUUAUAGUGUCUCAUCCCCAGGACAGCACUGCAAGAGGUCUUCAGAGGCAGUAUCCUGAGACCAAUAAUCAUCAAUAAUCUUCCUUCCAUCGUAAGGCCAGAAGUUACCAUGUUCAAUUAUGAUUGUUUAAUGUACAGUUCCAUUCGUAACUCAUCAGAUAAUGAAGCAAUCUGAAGCCUGAAUGCAGCAAGGCAUAGACCACAUUCAGAUGUGGCCUGAUAAGUGGCAGGAAACAGUCACAGAACACAAGCUCCAGGCAACAACCACAAAGAAAGAAAGACUUCUCUUCAUAUUGGCUUUUCACGAUUACUGAAUUUUCCCAGAAAAAUGUAUAACCAAUGAAAUACUUCUGUACUUUUCACAUGGUUAUAAUGUAGGAAACGUGGUAGCUGAUUUGUACAAAACAAAUUUAUGCAAAUAAUUAUGUUUAGUCACCAGAUAAUCUAUUUUUGUGAUGUUGAUUGUUGGAUAGACAAUGCCAGAACACUAGGAUGAAUUUCCUGGUGAGGAGACCUUUUACAUUUACUUGAGCAAACAGAGAGUUAUGAACACAGCCCAGUCCAUUAUGCAAACCAAACUUGCAGCCACUGCCCUCAGGAAAGCAACCAACGUAAUCAAAGACCCUUUCACCCCAGACAUGCUCUUUUCUGGCCUCUUUCAUUGGGCAAAAGAUAUAAAAGUUUGAAUAUGCGCACAAACAGAUCAAAGAACAGCUCCUUCCUCGCUGUUAUCAGACUUUGGAACAGACCUCUCAGAUGUUAUUUCUGAUCUCUGUCUGCGCCCUCUCUGCAGCUGUAACACUGCAUUCUGCACUCUGUCUUGCUACCCUGAUGCGUUUUGUAUGGUACAAUCUCCCUUUGUAACAUACAAAAAACAUUUUUCACUGUAUCUUAGUAUGUGACAACAAAAAAAAUCAAUCAAGUCAGAUGCUACCUUAGUUUAACAUCUCAUUUAAAAGUUGGUAUCUGCCCCAUUACUGCUCUCAUUCAGCCUUACGUUUCACACUCAGGUAAUGCGAUUAGACGUGAGUUAGGAAGCAUGGACUGGGAGCAAUUGUUCCAUGGUAAAGGCACUAUAGACAUGUGGAGACUGUUUAAGGAACAGUUGUUGCGAGUGAUGAGUAAAUAUGUCCCUCUGAGACAGGCAAGAAGGGGUAAGAUAAAGGAACCUUGGAUGACGAGAGCGGUGGAGCUUCUUGUGAAAAGGAAGAAGGUAGCUUACAUAAGGUGGAGGAAGCUAGGGUCAAGUUCAGCUAGUGAGGAUUACACGCAGGCAAGGAAGGAGCUCAAAAAUGGUCUGAAGAGAGCCAGGAGGGGGCACGAGAAAGGCUUGGCAGAACGGAUUAGGGACAACACAAAGGCAUUUUACACUUAUGUGAGGAAUAAGAGAAUGGUCAAAGAAAGAGUAGGGCCAAUCAGGGAUAGUAUAGGGAACUUGUGUGUGGAGUCCGAGGUGG